UGUGGAAAGACCGUUGGGACUUGGGAUUCUGGCCUCUGAGGCCUGAAACCUGCGCUCAGUGCACCAUCCCGGGGCCUUGUCUGCCUCUCAGUGGCUUCAGUGCUGUCUGGCUGAGCCAGCUGGAGGGGGAAAGCAAUUAUUCUCGUCUCAGAGGCAGCGGAUAGCGACCCUGGUUUCCCUCAUGGGACAACGAUAAAGUCCACCCAGAAACGCUUCAGUGAAGGCAGCUCAGCUUGCUGUGACCGUGGGAGUGUGAAUGCAGCCUUUACUCUCAAACUGUGUGCUUGAGUUUGCCUCAUCUGUGGAAACUGCGGAAGUGAGCAGAUCAGAGAGUAGUGGAUGGGCCUCUCCAUGGGAAAGCCACUCUGUGAUGACACUGGUUCCCCUGCAAGGACCCAGAGCAUCCUCCAGAUCCUCACUGUGAGAACUAUCCAGGCGGGUUGAGCUUGACAGGAGGUCAGCAAUAUAGCAGCAUUGCAGAACAGCCUCCUGCAGGUUUCUGAUCCAGGUAGCUUCUAC